rnacentral:tRNA from 1 species
CAGAGAUUAGCACAGAUGGUUAGUGUAACUACCUUUAAGAGGUAGUGUUUAGUAGGUUUAGGGUUCAAAUCCCUGACAUCUGC